ACGGACUUGUUCAAGUCCCUCUAUCCCCA
rnacentral:tRNA from 1 species